ensembl:lncRNA
GACGGGGCUGUCUGAUUUUAUUCUGAGUUAUUGAAAAUGACUUAAUUUUAAUAGCACCUGCUUAAUUGCGAUUGUCGAAAGCGCAUUUCUGGUGGAGUUGGUUUGCAGUGUCACUUUGAAGACUACUCUACUUUAUCCGCAGUUACCUGGCCCACAGCCACCUUUGUUCAUACUCUAAUGGCAACCUUUACACGAUGGCAGAACCACUUAACCUUCAACGUAAUGGAGUUGCAGAUGCAGAUUUAAGCAACAGGGUCACAGGAAGUUCUAUGGAAGACAAAACUGGUAGAGAGAACUGCAUAGCUGCAGCUGAUAAAGAAAAUACUGUGUCACAUUCUAAUUGGAUUAAUGGGAAGCCAAAGAAAUCGCAGUAUUCCUCCAAGAGUGGUUUUUCUAUUUGCUAUGAUAAGAGUUUCUUGAGUUUGUUAGUACCACCACCUAAAGGGGGCACUUGCCAUCGUUGUGGUCUUUUUGGAAAGCUCAGAUGUUCACAGUGUCUGCAAACAUACUAUUGCUCUGCAGAUUGUCAGAAAAACGAUUGGCCAGCACACAGAGUUGUUUGUGAGCCCCUUAAACAGAAGCAUUGUCAACUUUUUUUUUCUCAGCUUAUGGGAAAGCACUAUCCACUAACUGGUGUUGAUAUAUUACAGGAGGAAGUGAGGUUGAGUUUUGCUGUAGAUGUUGCUCUUCCAGAUUCUGGUAAGUGUUUGGUUGUCCUUAUUUCUUUUUUAUGUGCAGAAUCCGAAAACCAUUCAAAGGAAAGUGAAAAAAAAUUACCUGAGGUUGAAGACUCUCCUCACUGUGCUAAUUCAGUUGCCAAGUUUGUCUCCUUAAAUAUUGGAGAUGAAUUUUCUGGUGUGGUUUCCCACAUUCAAAAUCCAGACACCUUUUUUUGUCAGCGGAUGCAAAGUGCCUGUCAACUUGCUGAGCUUGAAGCGUCUCUUAAUGAGUACUGUAACAAACUUCCCAGUAGUUCGUCGUUCCGUCCUGCUGCUGGCAAUAUGUGCUGUGCCCAGUUCACAGAAGACAACCUUUGGUAUCGUGCUGCUGUUAGAGCUUAUGCUUCUGAAGACACUGUUUUUGUCGACUAUAUGGAUUAUGGUAACUCUGACUCUCUGCCACUGACCAGACUUCGUCCUAUAAUUCCAAGCUUAAUGGACUUGCCAGCUCAAGCCAUAAGAUGUAGCCUGGCAGGUGUAAAGCCACCAUGGACCUCAGAAGGUAUUUCUUACAUGAAAAAACUGGUGAAAGACAAAGUGCUGACAGUAAAAGUAGUGAAUAAAGAGAGUUCUAGAUUUGUGGUGGAGCUUACAGAUGCAUCAGGUACUCCAGCAGUAAAUAUAUCGAGCCUUCUCAUCGAGGAAGGCUGUGCAGCUGAGGAGCUGAGCAUGGCCUUACCACCACCCACAGGGAGUGAUGUUGAGCAAGCCAAGGGUGAGUAUGAACACAUCUUGCUAAUGUGCAAGUGGAUUAAAUUAACUCUUAACCAAACACUCAGUGUCAUAGUAUGUACAGUGUACAAUCCUGGAGAAUUCUACUGUCAGAUUUCAAACAAGUUGCUUGCUCUAAACUCACUUAACAAAUCAUUGUCUGAAUACUGUCAGAAAACACUACCAGAUGUUUUUGAGCCUGAGGAUGGAGACCCUUGCUGUGCUUUUUACUCUGAGGAUGGUAACUGGUACCGUGCUGUGGUGCAAAGUAUCACUUCAAAUGGGAGUGUCCGAGUGAGCUUCGUGGACUAUGGAAAUACUGAGGAAGUACCACUGAAAAAUAUCCGACAGAUCUCAUCCUCAUUCCUAAAACUUCCAUUUCAAGCAAUUAAGUGCUGGCUCUCAGGUAUAAAGCCUGGAAGUAGCAAAUGGAAUCCAGAAGCUACAAGAAGAUUUCAUAUGUACACUUCAGGUUUAGAACUUCAAGCCACAGUAACUUCCCUUUCUGAAGAUGGGGCAGGUGUAGUGCUUACUGACAAUUCCACAGAUUGUCCAAAAAUGAUCAAUGAGAUACUAACUGCAGAAAAACUGGUUGUAAAGGAAGUUCUACAAGAUAAAAAUAACUUUCCAGACAAGUCUGUUGACCAAAAAGCAACCUCACUUGGGCACUGGAAGUCAAUUGAAUUGGCUGUAGAUGAAACCAUGUCUGUCUGGGUAACAGAAGUUGUAAGCCCAGACUUGUUCUAUGCUAUACCAGUUCCAAAUACAGGUCAGAAGAAGCUCCUGAAGGAGCUGAUUUCACUGGAAGACUAUUGUAGAUCUUGUGACAAACAGUCCUUCCAGCCAAAACUGGGUGAAGCCUGUUGUGCUCAGUUUUCAGGUAAUGGCAAUUGGUACAGAGCUGUUGUUCUGGAAGCUUCCCAGUCUGCAGUGAAAGUCCUGUAUGGAGACUAUGGCAGCACAGAAACUUUACCCCUUUCAAAGGUGCUGCCAAUUGCUGAUUCCUAUUUAAAGCUGCCUUUUCAGACAAUUACUUGUUCACUUGCAGGUGAGACCAACUGCUGCUGCACAGAAUUGAAAGUGCAAGUAAGAUUCACUCUAAGCAAUACUUUCUUUUUUUAUGUUUCCAGAACUAAAGAGAAACCUUGUGUAGGAAGCAAUGGGAGUAAGGGGACUACUGAAACAUGGAAGUUUUGUGAAAUGUAUCCUGAACCUUCUUCUCAAAAAAAAAAAGUUUUUUUAAUAUGUGGUAAUAAUUAG